rnacentral:rRNA from 1 species
GAAUUUUGGACAAUGGGGGCAACCCUGAUCCAGCCAUGCCGCGGGUGUGAAGAAGGCCUUCGGGUUGUAAAGCACUUUCGGACGGAACGAAAUCGCGCGAUCUAAUAAGUCGCGUGGAUGACGGUACCGUAAGAAGAAGCCCCGGCUCACUACGUGCCAGCCGCCGCGGUAAUACGUAGGGUGCGAGCGUGAAUCGGAAUUACUGGGGGUAAAGUGUGCGCAGGUGGCUGAGCAAGUCGAGUGUGAAAUCCCCGGGCUUAACUUGGGAAUUGCGCUCGAAACUACUUGGCUCGAGUGUGGCAGAGGAAGGUGGAAUUCCAGGUGUAGCGGUGAAAUGCGUAGAGAUCUGGAGGAACACCGAUGGCGAAGGCAGCCUUCUGGGCCAACACUGACGCUCAUGCACGAAAGCGUGGGGAGCAAACAGG